rnacentral:tRNA from 1 species
UAGCUCAGUCGGUAUAGAGCAAUGGUCUCGUAAUCCAGUGACCUGGGUUCGAAACCAAG